UACGUAGGGCGCAAGCGUUGUCCGGAAUUAUUGGGCGUAAAGAGCUCGUAGGCGGUCUGUCGCGUCUGCUGUGAAAACUCGGGGCUUAACCCCGGGCCUGCAGUGGGUACGGGCAGACUAGAGUGCGGUAGGGGAGACUGGAAUUCCUGGUGUAGCGGUGAAAUGCGCAGAUAUCAGGAGGAACACCGGUGGCGAAGGCGGGUCUCUGGGCCGUAACUGACGCUGAGGAGCGAAAGCGUGGGGAGCGAACAGG
rnacentral:rRNA from 1 species